UACAGAGGUCCCAAGCGUUGUUCGGAUUUACUGGGCGUAAAGGGCGCGUAGGCGGCUUAACAAGUCACUUGUGAAAUCUCCGGGCUUAACUCGGAACGGCCAAGUGAAACUGUCAAGCUAGAGUGCAGAAGGGGCAAUCGGAAUUCUUGGUGUAGCGGUGAAAUGCGUAGAUAUCAAGAGGAACACCUGAGGUGAAGACGGGUUGCUGGGCUGACACUGACGCUGAGGCGCGAAAGCCAGGGGAGCAAACAGG
rnacentral:rRNA from 1 species